AUUGAACGCUGGCGGCAGGCUUAACACAUGCAAGUCGAGCGGGGAAAGGUAGCUUGCUACCUGACCUAGCGGCGGACGGGUGAGUAAUGCUUAGGAAUCUGCCUAUUAGUGGGGGACAACAUUCCGAAAGGAAUGCUAAUACCGCAUACGCCCUACGGGGGAAAGCAGGGGAUCUUCGGACCUUGCGCUAAUAGAUGAGCCUAAGUCAGAUUAGCUAGUUGGUGGGGUAAAGGCCUACCAAGGCGACGAUCUGUAGCGGGUCUGAGAGGAUGAUCCGCCACACUGGGACUGAGACACGGCCCAGACUCCUACGGGAGGCAGCAGUGGGGAAUAUUGGACAAUGGGCGAAAGCCUGAUCCAGCCAUGCCGCGUGUGUGAAGAAGGCCUUUUGGUUGUAAAGCACUUUAAGCGAGGAGGAGGCUACUUAGAUUAAUACUCUAGGAUAGUGGACGUUACUCGCAGAAUAAGCACCGGCUAACUCUGUGCCAGCAGCCGCGGUAAUACAGAGGGUGCGAGCGUUAAUCGGAUUUACUGGGCGUAAAGCGUGCGUAGGCGGCUUCUUAAGUCGGAUGUGAAAUCCCUGAGCUUAACUUAGGAAUUGCAUUCGAUACUGGGAAGCUAGAGUAUGGGAGAGGAUGGUAGAAUUCCAGGUGUAGCGGUGAAAUGCGUAGAGAUCUGGAGGAAUACCGAUGGCGAAGGCAGCCAUCUGGCCUAAUACUGACGCUGAGGUACGAAAGCAUGGGGAGCAAACAGGAUUAGAUACCCUGGUAGUCCAUGCCGUAAACGAUGUCUACUAGCCGUUGGGGCCUUUGAGGCUUUAGUGGCGCAGCUAACGCGAUAAGUAGACCGCCUGGGGAGUACGGUCGCAAGACUAA
rnacentral:rRNA from 1 species